CUCCUGGCCGCCGAAUUGAAGUUCCGCUGGCUGGGGCCGCUUUGUUGCUAGGGUGACUUGUCCAGCAGCCCGUCCCCGCCUGGCUGAGGCGCGGGAGGCAGCUGCCGCCAGCCGGGCUUCGAGGAGCAGGGCGGCCUCCCAGCCGCUCCCCCAGAGAGGAGCUCGUCCGCGCAGGAUACUGGCUUGGUGGCUCUUGAUAUGCCAAUCAGUCCUGCCUAGAUCUCACCUCCGUCAUGAUUUCAGAGGAUCAGAGGCCUUCAUGACAGAAGUACUAGUGGCAUUAUUCUGUCUACCAGAUUUUAUCAGGGUCCAUAGUCACGAUGGUGACUAUGCAAGACUACUCUCAUCCCUCCUCCUGAAUGCUGUCUGCAAGAGGCUUGCAGCGCUCUUGGCCAGGAAGCAGAGAAAAACAUAGUUAGCAACUUCUUAUGUCUUUGGAGGCCUAGGUCGCAGCAAGUGGAACACACCAGAGCGAGGCUUCUCUGCAGUUGCUCCUGAGACCUGCCCUUGAUGAGCUAGUCAUUGAGAUACGGGAAGACCUGGACCCCUCGGAAUCUCAGAGGAACUAUCAUCUGCCCGUUCAAGGUGUGUCUGGCUGGAGAAUAGGUCAUUCUGAGACAACCCUGGAAGUAGCAGAGACAUAGCUUUGCAUGAUUGGUUAAAAAGGUGCAAGAUGCCGUGUUAUCCCAGGAGUGAAGAAAAUUCCUUAUUGUGGUCUGAGGUUUUCCCUGAAUUACCUAUACCAGACUUGACAAAGUUACAAAUCUGUCUAAGGGAAGCUGAAGACCCAACUCCUGGAACAGAGCAAGGGCUGUCUGGGUGGAAGAUAGCAUUGCUUUGUAGGAACAACCCUCGAGUAGCCAGUUGUUGAGGUACGGGAAGACUAGGACCACUUCUUGUCACAGGUGUAUGAAUGCCCAGGAAUCCUAAAGUAGACCUAUAGUCCUUCAGUGUGCGCAAGGACUCAUCCGUGUUUGCAAGGUCUCCAAGGAAAGUUUACUGCCAUUGAAAGUAAAGUCCUCAACAGUGUUCCUAACUUCUCUUGGAAAAUCUGAGUUAGCCAUGAUGCCCUGUGUAUAAAUACUGCCAUGGAGAUGGACCUGGUAGCAAUGUCAGCAGCAUUCAAGGAUGCUUGAAGAGCGGUUUUGGCCAAUAACUGGCCCUCUGAAAUGAUGGAUUGGAUUCCUCCCUAUGUUCCUGUGGCAGAUGUUCAAUAAAGGCUGUAAUGUAUUA